rnacentral:misc_RNA from 1 species
CUGCCUGCCUCCAGCCUCCUCAUAUUCCUCCACUCACCGUUGCCAUGCCAAAGCUCCCACACCUCUCAUGCAUGGGCAGAGGGUUCAUGGCCACGGCAGCAGCCGCCCACGUUCGCCGCCGCAUCCACCACUCACCACCCGAUCGAUGGGGAGCACCGGAGCAGAGCAGAGAGCAGCGCGCGCGCGAACCCUAAAAGCCUUCGGUCGACCUGUAUGGAUCGGAUCAGCCGGAGCGCGAGCGUCCAGCCUGCCACGCCUGGGCUGGUGCGCGCGCGGGCCCACCUCCCCGCUAUAAAGCGGGACCGCCGGCUUACUGUUAGGCUCGAGAGCCGAUCCACAAACGGCGCCGCGUGUGUCAGGGAUAAGAUGAGCUCAGCAAGAGGCAGAGUGGAGGAGGAGGUGAGGAAAGAGCAAGGAAAGGCACAAUACGGUGGCACGGUCGGCAGAUCUAUCCCGGCCUGCCGCCGUUUCCGCACUACCAUGCAUGUCAUCAGGAUUGUGUCUCCAUCGGUGGUGGUCUGGUGGACAUCGAUCCCUGGAGAAUGGCUUGAACCUUUCAUUUGCGUGAUUCUAGCAUAG